rnacentral:rRNA from 1 species
GCCACACUGCAGUCGAGCGGUAGAGGGUGCUUGCACCUCUUGAGAGCGGCGGACGGGUGAGUAAUGCCUAGGAAUCUGCCUGGUAGUGGGGGAUAACGCUCGGAAACGGACGCUAAUACCGCAUACGUCCUACGGGAGAAAGCAGGGGACCUUCGGGCCUUGCGCUAUCAGAUGAGCCUAGGUCGGAUUAGCUAGUUGGUGAGGUAAUGGCUCACCAAGGCGACGAUCCGUAACUGGUCUGAGAGGAUGAUCAGUCACACUGGAACUGAGACACGGUCCAGACUCCUACGGGAGGCAGCAGUGGGGAAUAUUGGACAAUGGGCGAAAGCCUGAUCCAGCCAUGCCGCGUGUGUGAAGAAGGUCUUCGGAUUGUAAAGCACUUUAAGUUGGGAGGAAGGGUUGUAGAUUAAUACUCUGCAAUUUUGACGUUACCGACAGAAUAAGCACCGGCUAACUCUGUGCCAGCAGCCGCGGUAAUACAGAGGGUGCAAGCGUUAAUCGGAAUUACUGGGCGUAAAGCGCGCGUAGGUGGUUCGUUAAGUUGGAUGUGAAAUCCCCGGGCUCAACCUGGGAACUGCAUUCAAAACUGUCGAGCUAGAGUAUGGUAGAGGGUGGUGGAAUUUCCUGUGUAGCGGUGAAAUGCGUAGAUAUAGGAAGGAACACCAGUGGCGAAGGCGACCACCUGGACUGAUACUGACACUGAGGUGCGAAAGCGUGGGGAGCAAACAGGAUUAGAUACCCUGGUAGUCCACGCCGUAAACGAUGUCAACUAGCCGUUGGGAGCCUUGAGCUCUUAGUGGCGCACCUAACGCAUUAGCUGCGC